GCUGGGUGUGGUGGCUCACACCUGUAAUCCCAGCACUUUCGGAGGCCGAGGCGGGUGGAUCACCUGAGGUCAGGAGUUCGAGACUAGCCUGGCCAACAUGGUGAAACCUCGUCUCUA
rnacentral:SRP_RNA from 1 species